AUGAAUAGAAUGUGAGGUUUCACUGCCGUGAGUCAAGUGUGUAGUUGCGGCGUGUAGUAUGGCAGAAUUUUACCGACGUCCUUGUUGCCUUUAUAAUCAGGGCGUUUCAAAAAAAUUUCAGGUGGCAUGGUAUGACAUGCGACUGAACAAACUUGCUACAUGCAGGACAACUGAACUGUUGACUGAGAGGUCAGGAAGCUGCUUUAUGCCACCUCAGUUACUAAGCAAAAAUAAAGAGGCAUUACUUCA